GGUGGUGUGGUCUAGUGGUAUGACGUCACGUUGUGGAAAACACAGUCCCGUGCCAGCCCCGGUUCGAUUCCGGGCACCGCCA